UGAGCACAAAGGAAUUCGUAUGAACCAUGUGAACGGCUCCACAAUCACUGGGAGGUAAAAUAUCAAUUAACUGUUCCCCUGGGUCGUCUGAUGUUCGGUAUUUUGGGCUGUAUGUUACAGUAGGAAUAUUUACACGAAAACUAGCCAUUCGGUUUUUGUUUGACACAUCCAGCAGCAUUGUUAUUUAAGUCCAGGCAAAAGUAUAGGCACAAUCAUAGUUCUG